rnacentral:misc_RNA from 1 species
GAAAUGCGAUAAGUAAUGUGAAUUGCAGAAUUCAGUGAAUCAUCGAAUCUUUGAACGCACCUUGCGCUCCUUGGUAUUCCUUGGAGCAUGCCUGUUUGAGUAUCAUGAAAUCUUCAAAGUAAAUCUUUUGUUAACUCAAUUGGUUUCUACUUUGGUAUUGGAGGUCUUUGCAGCUUCACACCUGCUCCUCUUUGUUCAUUAGCUGGAUCUCAGUGUUAUGCUUGGUUCCACUCGGCGUGAUAAGUUAUCUAUCGCUGAGGACACUGUAAAAGGUGGCCAAGGUAAAUGCAGAUGAACCGCUUCUAAUAGUCCAUUGACUUGGACAAUACUUUUAUGAUCUGAUCUCAAAUCAGGUAGGACUCCCCGCUGAACUUACGC